AUUGAACGCUGGCGGCAGGCCUAACACAUGCAAGUCGAGCGGAUGAAGGGAGCUUGCUCCUGGAUUCAGCGGCGGACGGGUGAGUAAUGCCUAGGAAUCUGCCUGGUAGUGGGGGAUAACGUCCGGAAACGGGCGCUAAUACCGCAUACGUCCUGAGGGAGAAAGUGGGGGAUCUUCGGACCUCACGCUAUCAGAUGAGCCUAGGUCGGAUUAGCUAGUUGGUGGGGUAAAGGCCUACCAAGGCGACGAUCCGUAACUGGUCUGAGAGGAUGAUCAGUCACCCUGGAACUGAGACACGGUCCAGACUCCUACGGGAGGCAGCAGUGGGGAAUAUUGGACAAUGGGCGAAAGCCUGAUCCAACCAUGCCGCGUGUGUGAAGAAGGUCUUCGGAUUGUAAAGCACUUUAAGUUGGGAGGAAGGGCAGUAAGUUAAUACCUUGCUGUUUUGACGUUACCAACAGAAUAAGCACCGGCUAACUUCGUG
rnacentral:rRNA from 1 species